rnacentral:tRNA from 14 species
UCCGCCGUGGUGUAAAGGCAGCACCUCGGAUUUUGGUUCCGAUGGUCCAGGUUCGAAUCCUGGCGGCGGAGCGA